CAGCGGAGGGAUCAUUAGCGAGUUAAUUAUAAACUCCAAACCCAUGUGAACUUACCUAUUGUUGCCUCGGUAGGCUGUGCUGUACGGUAUGGAAAGCUACCCUGGAGCUGACCUACCCUAAAUAGGAGUUGCCCUAGAGUGGAGUCUAACUUGCACCCUAGAGAGAAGCCACCUUAGGGAAUGGAAAGCCAUUUAUGGAUGAGCACCUAUGCCCUACAGUACGCUAUAAAGCCUGCCGAAGGACCCUUAAACUCUGUUUUAUAAUGUAUCUCUGAGUGAAUUAUAUAAAUAAGUUAAAACUUUCAACAACGGAUCUCUUGGUUCUGGCAUCGAUGAAGAACGCAGCGAAAUGCGAUAAGUAAUGUGAAUUGCAGAAUUCAGUGAAUCAUCGAAUCUUUGAACGCACAUUGCGCCUAAUAGUAUUCUGUUAGGCAUGCCUGUUCGAGCGUCAUUUCAACCUUCAAGCCCUAUUUGCUUGACGUUGGGAGUUUACAGCUGCUGUAAUUCCUUAAAUUUAGUGGCGGAGCUAGGUCAUGCUCUGAGCGUAGUAAUUCUUUUUUCUCGCUCUUGAUGCUGCCCUGUAUCUUGCCGUAAAACCCCCUAAAUUUUAUUCUGGUUGACCUCGGAUCAGGUAGGAAU
rnacentral:rRNA from 1 species